CUUCAUUGAUGAUGAAACUUAGCUCACUUUGACCCAAUGUGAAACGACACGAACAUCUGAGCAGC
ensembl:snoRNA SNORD29 Small nucleolar RNA SNORD29